rnacentral:rRNA from 1 species
GGAGGAAAGUAGGGGAUCGAAAGACCUUGCGCUCUUGGAGCGGCCGAUGCCUGAUUAGCUAGUUGGUGAGGUAAAGGCUUACCAAGGCGACGAUCAGUAGCUGGUCUGAGAGGACGACCAGCCACACUGGGACUGAGACACGGCCCAGACUCCUACGGGAGGCAGCAGUGGGGAAUUUUGGACAAUGGGGGAAACCCUGAUCCAGCCAUGCCGCGUGAGUGAAGAAGGCCUUCGGGUUGUAAAGCUCUUUCAGCCGGAACGAAACGGUCACGGCUAAUACCCGUGACUACUGACGGUACCGGAAGAAGAAGCACCGGCUAACUACGUGCCAGCAGCCGCGGUAAUACGUAGGGUGCAGGCGUUAAUCGGAAUUACUGGGCGUAAAGCGUGCGCAGGCGGUUUUGUAAGUCAGAUGUGAAAUCCCCGGGCUUAACCUGGGAACUGCGUUUGAAACUACAAGGCUAG